rnacentral:rRNA from 1 species
GAUGAACGCUGGCGGCGUGCCUAAUACAUGCAAGUCGAGCGAGCGGCGGACGGGUGCGUAAUGUAUGGGAAACUGCCUGAUGGAGGGGGAUAACUACUGGAAACGGUAGCUAAUACCGCAUACCAUCAGAGGAGCCCAGAUGGGAUAAGCUAUGAGGUGGGGUAACGGCUCACCUAGGCGACGAUCCCGAGCUGGUCUGAGAGGAUGACCGUGAACACUGGAACUGGAGAACGGUAAAGACUCCAAUGGCGGAGAGGAGUGGAGAAUAUUGCACAAUGGGCGAAAUCCUGAUGAAGCCAUGCCGCGUGUAUGAAGAAGGCCUUCGGGUUGUAAAGUACUGUCAGCGGGGAGGCGUUACCAGCAGAAGAAAGACCGGCUAACUCCGUGCCAGGAGCCGCGGUAAUAC